GGCUCCGUGCCUCCUCCUUGGGAGGUGGGGAACCAUUUGGUGUGUGCUAAAUAAUGAGUCAUGGUCAGAGUGAGGGAGCAGAGAGAGCAGAUUUCUCCCUUGUAUUACUUCAUCCGAACCUCUGUUUAAAAAAAAUCGGUGAUUCCACAGCCUGCCCAGUUGAUGGCAUUAAUGGUCACGGCAGAAGGAAGGCGAGCUCUGCCCUCCAGGGGCACGCGGAGAGGCAUGCACACCCUGCAGCACACAGAUUGAUGGGGUGAUUCCUGUGUACAUGAAAUGUGGGGUGUGCUGCUCUAUGGUCCAGGAUCAUGGCUUGAGCCUUUCCCGUCAUCCUGCACAUCGUGCUAUGUCCGGG